UGGCAAAAGGUCGCGAAGUUCAAGGGGGCCGAAUACUUUCGCAAGGCACUGUAAAUGUUGAAUUUUAAAACUGAUACUUUCUCACAUUAUUCAACAAGACAAAUUGAUAUUGAAUUAGGUAGGUGAAAGAGGAUAUGAGUCCCAAGGUACAUAACUGCAUGGUUUGUGUGAAAUGUCUCUGGUUGACAAGCUCUUUGUGUGUCCAGGUGUUAAGUGGUAUACUACGAAGCAAGUUAGAUCUACUCAGGCUUUUAUAAAGCUAGCCAUCUUCAGUUAGCUGCACAUUCCAGGUCAGGCUUCAGCCGUACUAUGAAGGUGGAUAUUGUGGAUAUUGCUCAUCUGCCUGCCGCUGACUCGGAACAGAUGAAGAGGAUGAUGACACAAUCUUUGCAAGAGGGAUGGUAUCUGAUUUCAUUGGUCCUCAACUCAUGGCUCAGACACUUCAUUCAGGAUAAAUGGAGUUAGCCCUGAGUUAGCCUGCUCGGAUUAGGUAAGCUCCACCUGGCCUCUUAAGAUGGGCCUUAUUGAGAAGAGUGUGGAGGCCCACAAAGGAGCUGUGUUAGCCAGGAGAUGGUACUACGACGGGACCGCUCUCAUCACAGCUGGGGAGGACGGGCCACGUCAAGAUCUGGUCUAAGAGUGGCAUGCUGAGGUCCACCUUGGCCAGGUAAGAUUACUAGGAAAAAAAGUUGCAAACUAUCCUUUCAAACACUCAGCUCAGAAAUGACUGUAUUUCAAAACAAAUUUGGAGUGCAGCAGACUCGUAGUGCAUAGCCACACUUUGUUUUGAAACAAAUGCAGCCACAAAUAUUGUCCCUUUUAACAAUUUCCUGUUUUGUCAGAAUGGGGCCCUGUAGUUUUUGUGGUGCAGUUGCUCCACAGUGUAGAGCCAGCAUUGCACUCUCUCUGUGUGAAGAGGUGUAUGUGAGCGUGUGUGUGUGUGUAUGCUAAUCUUCCAGCCCGGUGUUGUCAGCAUGCUUCGGUUCAGCUGGCGCCUAGUCGAACUGAACAACUGUGCUCGCAUACUCCCUUAAAAUACCUUUGCGGCAAUAGUUCUGUUUGUCCUUCUUCAUAUGCCAUAGCCAAUAUACACUUCCUCAAAAUAGUCAGAAUUAAUCCCACGAUAACUCAAGAAAUCUGUAAUUAUUUUGACGUAUAUUCCAAGGACAUUUUAGUCGUGCAAUUUUACAUCUAACUAAGAUGUUUGGUGCAGUAUUUCUCAAGUGAAAAGAUUUGCAUGAAAACAAAUGACAACAAAUACUUAAUUGAAGAAUCGCUACUGUUGACCUAUCAACAGGGCAUAGACUUCGUCUACCUACUUCGGUUUGCCUCAAGAAAAAAAUGUUGUGCGCACGAACAGUCGACAAAACCCUCGCUGAAGACCAAAUCGAACUUAAACAUCCCAAAAUGUCAUCAUAAUAUAUGCACAAACUGUUUUGGAUGGGAAAGCAUGUGGACGCCUGCUGGUGCUGUGUGGUUAACACUAACAUGUCAGGUCUUGUACUGUACCAUUGCUGUACUCAGAUCAGCCAUGUCCCUGUCUGUAAAGUCACCUACAGGUGGUUCUGUUACUCUCUAACAGAACCAGUCCAAGUACUGAAUGUGCUUUUACACACAACAUGUAUAUUGAUAUUGGCUUUCACUGAAUUAAUCACUGUACUUAUUGAAUGAAUCAUUGAACUAAUUUUGAAAUCUCAAUUUGGAACUAGGAUGUUAUUUCACUAUCCAUGUGUGAAUGAGGAUGCAUGCUAUUAAUCAUAGGGGCUGAGUGUGUCACCCUGGUGCUUUCUCAAGCCGUCGGUAGUUCUCUCACACUCUGGUGUGCCCAGUCAGAGGACCUGCUGCUGCUGUGGCUUGGGCCGGGCCUGGGACAGUUGUAAUGAGGUCAAACCCAUGAACACAGCAACGUGAGUUACAGAGAGAUAGACUGCACUGGUGGACAUUUUGUAAACAUAAGGCAACACAGCCUCCAAUUAUAUUCUCACAUACAGACCGCAGUGUUCAUUAAGGCCUCUUCUGCUUUUGAGGGCACCUCACUGGAUGAGAGAGAGAGAGAGAGAGAAAGGGAUCUGAUGAAAAGGGAAAAGGCUUGUCACAGACGGGUACAAUACUGUUCAUGUGUAUUCAGGAAGCCCUUCCCUCUGUGCCAUGACACGAAAGUUUCUCUGCUUAAACUGAGCUUUUGGUUGACCCCAAGUGGAGCAUGAUGCGCUGCCAUUAGACAGCUCUGAGAACAGAGGUUAUAUAGUAACCUAGAUAAUGUCGUCACCGUACAUAUAGAUAGACUAAUACAGUUUGAAGCACUCCAGGAUAUGCCUCAUGUUCUUACAAUUUUUUGACUUUCAAAUGUACUUCCACAGUCGGGAUUUGUGUGUGUGCGUACAGUGUGUGUAUUUGAAACUGCUGUAAACUAGGCCGGUGCGAUGAUCUGAAAGAUGGCCUUUGUGUUAACAGUGAUUUAGUCCAGCCAGAUGAUUUAAGAUGACAAUCUGGCAGAGGG